UACAGAGGGUGCGAGCGUUGUCCGGAAUCACUGGGCGUAAAGGGCGCGUAGGCGGCGCGGUAAGCGUGCGGUGAAAGCCCGGGGCUCAACCCCGGGUCGGCCGUGCGGACUGCCGGGCUGGAGAACUGUAGAGGCAGGUGGAAUUCCGGGUGUAGCGGUGGAAUGCGUAGAGAUCCGGAAGAACACCGGUGGCGAAGGCGGCCUGCUGGGCAGUAGCUGACGCUGAAGCGCGACAGCGUGGGGAGCAAACAGG
rnacentral:rRNA from 1 species